UCCAUAUGCCUGUACGAUCAUGAAUAUCAGUAAGCUUCAUAUCACUGUGAGUCACGAGGACCACAGGCAGAUGAUGCCGUAGAAUGAGCCUGAUACUGGGCCUAACAGAUUAAUCUCAUAAAUAUUUUACCCAUCACGGACAAAACGUUGAGAUUGAAGUACAAGUAACUCUUGUCUAUCGGGAAGACAUUCUCUCUCAUGUUGGAUUUCAUGUUACUCAUGUCUUCUUAGAAGACUUCGCAGUAUUAAACUUACAACUUUCAUUUAUUAUUCCGCAUUGCGUGUCUCUUCGUUAAUAUUAAAGUAGCUUUAGAGAGGGAAAAGUUUUUUUUUUCAACCUCACUCAUGUAUUCAAUAUGAAUAUCCAGCUGGUGGAGAAUGCGCACACUCCAUUAUGUAUAGGUCAAGUAUUUUCAGUUUAACUCGAGCAUGGGAGGUGCGUUGAGAAACAUCACUAGGUGAUCCGUCAACGGAAGUUGGAUUUGUAAUGUGAUGGGUAUAGAAUGAAAAGCGUUAAUUUCUCCGGAAAAAUCAUUCAUAUAUUCCAGUUUUUAUAUAGAACAUCAAUGUUAAUUAUUGGUGAUCUUAUUUAAAUACAAGAUAUGAUAAAAGUGAUGGCAAUAUCAUAAUUGUUGAUUGAUCCGAUGCUAUGAGAUGACUAGACUAUGAACUGCAAUCCCGAGGGAUCUUUUAACCGCUGACAUUCUGUAAUACCGCUGCUCCUGAGUACCCCUUACUGACAGAUCAACAAGACCACCAGCACUGACUAUCAUAGGAUUUCUGACAGCGCCUAGAAAUAUUUUCACAUUCUUCCUGAAUGUGAUGUCCAUGUCGUACCAGUGUGAUGCGUGCAAUGCGUUGCCUGUUCUGUCGCUCUCAACGAGGACGAAAUUACCACCGAAACAGAAUGCUAACAAUUGGAGUAAGACGCAGAACAGAAAAGCCGAUGCGAUUAUUGAAUCCAAAAGAUUUCCUUGUUGACCCUUGGAAAAAAUUUCGAUAAAUAUCGUACACAGGGAACUGCAGAAUUAAUAUUCAUUGUGCAACCCAUUGAACGACCUCACUCUCCACCAUUUUGUCGUUGCACCAACUAAUGCAAGAUGUCUGAUCUCCGGUGGAAAGAUUCCGAGAUUGUUAGGUCGUUGAAUGAGUUGGAGUAGUACAUUUAAAUACCGACCAAUAUCAUUUGUAAAAGUAGCAAAGUAAUUAAUAACAAACUUGUGAACAGCUGGGGGAGAAGGGCUUUGUCAAAGAUAGUACCGAACAGCUUCAGCAUUCUGACGAAGACAGAAAUGGAAUUAUUGGUACCAAUCAAUACCAACCAUCUGGUGACGUUCAAGUGCAUCCCUACCUUUUGAUAUGUUGAUGAAAUUUUAUGCAGUUGAUGAGCUCCUUAUUCGGAUCAAUAGUGGGCUGCCCAUCUGAAUCUACUCCGAAUUUUCCGCCGAAGUAUUCGAACGAUGUAUCGGAACUAUUAUAAUUUUCUUCAUCAUCAUCGAGGGCAUAAGUUGUUAAGUGACAUCUUUCUAAUCGAUAAUUCAGUAUUUCCAAUUGUGCUGUCAUGUUUAUCAGGACAGCCAUUAUGAGAGCAUCCUCGCAGACAGCUAGCAGACCCAGCCAGGUGCAUGUGAACCAAUCGAAGAUGAAGGCUGCCCAGAAGUGUGAUGUUAUGAAACAAUAUUUAAGAGGUAUUGAUCUGCAACAAUGAUGAUCAUAUGGGAUAUUCGGAAAAUCGAAAAAAUUCGAAGGAACCGGAUACACUACCCCACGGGCAAUCUUUCCACUUUGUAAUCGGAAUGCGUCAAAAUGGAGUAGUAGUAGAAUGGGUAAUAUUCAACUAGAGCUAUCAUGAUCGCAAUGGUGAAUGUUCUGGAGGCGCUCAGAGCUUUGGUUAUCACUUUAUUCCUAUAAUGCUCUGAAUAAAAUUUAUAACGAUUUAUUGUUCGUUUGUAUUCAUUGAGUGAUUAUUGUUUGCUGAUACUUACUGACUCGUUCUGCCCCUGGUAGGGUCCUCUCCCAAUUGAAUGCCUCCGAUAGCUCAAUCACUUCUUUUUCAUGAACUAGGAGAGCAAUAUAUUUGAGGGUAUCCACGAGUUCCACGGCGAGGAGGGAGAAUUCAUUGAGGAAUGUUGCGGCGUCCUCAGCUAUAAUUGUCCUCACCAAGAGGGUCAUCAGUCUUGCCGCCAUCACCACCAAAACUACGAGUGGGGAAACGCAGCUACCACGGCGCAGUGAUAAAUGAUGGAUCGAGGAACGUAGUUUUUGGUUCGAGGCGAAGGGCGACGUAGUAUCGGCGAAAUCCUAAUGGUGGGCAUCAAUAUUUUGAUGGGGAUAGCACUGCAACUCCUGAGUAAGCUUUGGCUAAAAUCUGAAAGCAAGAAUUUCAAUGAGGCAUCAACGAAAAUUUGGUGAUAAGGUAAGCGGCCCAGAUAAUUGCGUACAUUUUUGAAAGUCACAGCUGAGAGGUCAAAAAG